rnacentral:sRNA from 1 species
GUGGUUUGGAAUCUAAGUUUCUUUUAAGGUCUCUACUUGUAGAGUUUUCGAUUGAGUUUUCUUUCCGUUUUCUGUUUGUGUUGUAAUUUUUGGUGGUUUAUGUAGUUUUUGGUCUUUCAUAUUUUUUGUACUAUCUUUCUGUCAAAAUUUGCA